rnacentral:rRNA from 1 species
CCUACGGGGGGCAGCAGUAGGGAAUUUUCGUCAAUGGGCGCAAGCCUGAACGAGCAAUGCCGCGUGAACGAGGAAGGUCUUCGGAUCGUAAAGUUCUGUUGACGGGGAAAAAGAGCGGAGCGAGGAAAUGGUCUCCGAUUGAUAUUACCCUUCGAGGAAGUCACGGCUAACUACGUGCCAGCAGCCGCGGUAAUACGUAGGUGGCGAGCGUUAUCCGGAAUGAUUGGGCGUAAAGGGUGCGUAGGCGGCCUGCUACGUCUGGGGUGAAAGGUACCGGCUCAACCGGUACAGGCUCUGGAAACGGGCGGGCUAGAGAGCAGGAGAGGGCGGUGGAACUCCAGGUGUAGCGGUAAAAUGCGUAGAUAUAUGGAAGAACACCAGUGGCGAAGGCGGCCGCCUGGCCUGUUACUGACGCUGAGGCACGAAAGCGUGGGGAGCAAAUAGGAUUAGAUACCCGAGUAGUC